AGAGUUUGAUCCUGGCUCAGGAUGAACGCUAGCUACAGGCUUAACACAUGCAAGUCGAGGGGCAGCACAGGUAGCAAUACCGGGUGGCGACCGGCGCACGGGUGAGUAACGCGUAUGCAACUUACCUAUCAGAGGGGGAUAACCCGGCGAAAGUCGGAUUAAUACCCCAUGAAACAGGGGUCCCGCAUGGGAAUAUUUGUUAAAGAUUCAUCGCUGAUAGAUAGGCAUGCGUUCCAUUAGGCAGUUGGCGGGGUAACGGCCCACCAAACCGACGAUGGAUAGGGGUUCUGAGAGGAAGGUCCCCCACAUUGGAACUGAGACACGGUCCAAACUCCUACGGGAGGCAGCAGUGAGGAAUAUUGGUCAAUGGGCGAGAGCCUGAACCAGCCAAGUAGCGUGAAGGAUGACUGCCCUAUGGGUUGUAAACUUCUUUUAUAAAGGAAUAAAGUCGGGUAUGCAUACCCGUUUGCAUGUACUUUAUGAAUAAGGAUCGGCUAACUCCGUGCCAGCAGCCGCGGUAAUACGGAGGAUCCGAGCGUUAUCCGGAUUUAUUGGGUUUAAAGGGAGCGUAGAUGGAUGUUUAAGUCAGUUGUGAAAGUUUGCGGCUCAACCGUAAAAUUGCAGUUGAUACUGGAUAUCUUGAGUGCAGUUGAGGCAGGCGGAAUUCGUGGUGUAGCGGUGAAAUGCUUAGAUAUCACGAAGAACUCCGAUUGCGAAGGCAGCUUGCUGGACUGUAACUGACGCUGAUGCUCGAAAGUGUGGGUAUCAAACAGGAUUAGAUACCCUGGUAGUCCACACAGUAAACGAUGAAUACUCGCUGUUUGCGAUAUACAGUAAGCGGCCAAGCGAAAGCAUUAAGUAUUCCACCUGGGGAGUACGCCGGCAACGGUGAAACUCAAAGGAAUUGACGGGGGCCCGCACAAGCGGAGGAACAUGUGGUUUAAUUCGAUGAUACGCGAGGAACCUUACCCGGGCUUGAAAGUUACUGACGAUUCUGGAAACAGGAUUUCCCUUCGGGGCACGAAACUAGGUGCUGCAUGGUUGUCGUCAGCUCGUGCCGUGAGGUGUCGGGUUAAGUCCCAUAACGAGCGCAACCCCUACCGUUAGUUGCCAUCAGGUCAAGCUGGGCACUCUGGCGGGACUGCCGGUGUAAGCCGUGAGGAAGGUGGGGAUGACGUCAAAUCAGCACGGCCCUUACGUCCGGGGCUACACACGUGUUACAAUGGGGGGUACAGAAGGCAGCUACACGGCGACGUGAUGCUAAUCCCGAAAGCCUCUCUCAGUUCGGAUUGGAGUCUGCAACCCGACUCCAUGAAGCUGGAUUCGCUAGUAAUCGCGCAUCAGCCAUGGCGCGGUGAAUACGUUCCCGGGCCUUGUACACACCGCCCGUCAAGCCAUGAAAGCCGGGGGUACCUGAAGUACGUAACCGCAAGGAGCGUCCUAGGGUAAAACUGGUGAUUGGGGCUAAGUCGUAACAAGGUAGCCGUACCGGAAGGUGCGGCUG
rnacentral:rRNA from 1 species